GGGGACAUAGCUCAGUUGGGAGAGCAACAGACUGAAGUUUCUUGACAUGAGAUGGUUUCUGGAGGUCCCCAGUUCAAUCCUGGGUGUCCCCA
rnacentral:tRNA from 1 species